GGUUCAAUGGUCUAGUGGUUAUGAUUUCUGUCUUACAAGAGAUUCACAGAAGGUCUCCAGUUCGAUCCUGGAUUGAACCA